rnacentral:misc_RNA from 1 species
AUGCAAGUGUUCCCAUGCAUGAAGUCCCAGAAUCAUGGUUUUGUGACAGAAAAAAAGUUAACACGCCAUUAUUGUGACAGAAAAUGGUAAAUGUACUGUUUGUGUGACAGUAAGCAUGAUAAAUCAGUUAACACCAUAGAUACACUGUUAUUGUGAUAGUUGACAUGAUAGAUACACUGUUAUUGUGACAGAAAAAAUGGUAAAUAAACUGUUAUUACGACAGUAACUAAGCAUGAUAGAUACACUGUUAUUGUGUCUGUAAACAUGGUAAAUACAUUGUUAUUGUGACUGUAAACAUGGUAAAUACACUGUUAUUGUGACAGUAAAUAUGGUAAAUACACUGUUAUUGGGACUGUAAAUAUGGUAAAUACACUGUUAUUGUGACUGUAAACAUGGUAAAUGAUGGACAGUGGACCUGACACAAAAUCUCACCCCCAUCACAAAUUUAUAAAUGGCUGUAUAUGUUUUAAAAGUAUUUGAAAACCUACCUUUAUACAUGUACUGUUACAGGUUUUAUUUUAAACUUUAUGUGAACAGCCUGAACUUGACUAUUAGCCAGAAAACCAGUCAAUGAUAUUUUACUUUGCAAUUAUUUUGACAGGGUUUCUCUGAAUGAAUGCAUGAUUUGUUGUAUUGACAUCUUUUUUAGUAUUGGAGUAUUUUGUACUGUUUAAACCUUUAAAGUGAUAAAUAAUGUUAUUGUUAUUAUUUUAUUGCAUUGAAACGAAAUAAAUUUAAAUGAUUUU